CCUACGGGUGGCAGCAGUGAGGAAUAUUGGUCAAUGGACGCGAGUCUGAACCAGCCAAGUAGCGUGAAGGAUGACUGCCCUACGGGUUGUAAACUUCUUUUAUAAAGGAAUAAAACGAGGCACGUGUGCCUUUUUGCAUGUACUUUAUGAAUAAGGAUCGGCUAACUCCGUGCCAGCAGCCGCGGUAAUACGGAGGGUGCGAGCGUUAAUCGGAAUUACUGGGUGUAAAGCGCUCGUAGGCGGUAUGUCAAGUCAGGUGUGAAAUCCCCGGGCUCAACGUGGGAACUGCCGUUGAAACUGGCAGACUGGAGUAGGUGAGAGGAUAGUGGAAUUCCUGGUGUAGGAGUGAA
rnacentral:rRNA from 1 species